rnacentral:tRNA from 1 species
GUCCCCAUCGUCUAGCGGUUAGGACGUCACCCUCUCACGGUGAAAACAGGGGUUCGAUUCCCCUUGGGGAUA